CCGAGGCCCGAGUGCCGCCGCUCCCGCACGCCACCACCACCAGCGCCCGCAGAGCGCCCGACCCGAAGCUCCUCCUCACGUGCGCCUCCUCCCCGGCCUCCCUCGCGCAUCGUCCGGCAACCGGCGCCGCCGCCGGCGACUCCCAGGUCACGCCGCCGCUCCCCUUCCUUCUCUCUUUCCUCUCUCUCUCUCUAUAUAUCUCCUUUUCUCUCCUUAUCUCCAGGAGCUCAGCGCCAGCGCCAAUGCCCAGUCCUCCAGCUCACCCUGGAGGUUCGAACGCCGCCACGGGACCUCCAGCGGGCAGAUCCGGCAUCUCCCUCCCGGAUCCGCGCGCCCUCCACCUCCUCUACCCGAUCCGGCGCCGCCCAAUCCGCCAUGACCUCCACCAUGGCGCCCGCCGAGAUCCUGCGCAUCCUCUCUGUCGACGCGCCGUUGUCGCAUGAGGACUUGGACGCCUGGCUCGCUGACAACCUCCCCCAAAUCCUACAGGAGGUUCAGAUGUAAUAAUGCAGGUGAAUUUGGGCUUGCCGAAAUAUAGGAGUGUGCUGUGUGCUGCAGCAGGUUUGGAUGCGGCAAUCAAGACCAUGGCUCGGCUUGGGGAGCAUCAAGCAUCGACUGAUGUGAAGAGGCCAAGAUGAGCUUCUCCAGUCCAAUCCCAAUCUGAUUCAGGAGAGCAUAUUCUUAAGGUUGUCAUUGCACUUUCUGGAUAGGUUAAACUAUUGAUAAGUUCAAAUUCUGACUAGGACAACAAAGCCUCAUGGGCCAGAGUAUUCAGGAGGACACCAAUCCAAACCCAUGGUGUUUGAGGCAGCUUGAAAGAAGGUUUGUUGCAGGGAAGAGAUAGAAAGAGCAAAAUAGAGAAGGCAGGGGCGUGAUCUGUUGUAGUCUAACAAGACCAUCGCAUGGAUUGAUUUGUUGGGAGGACAACCGCAACAAGAUAUGCUGCUGAAUAAUCAACAUGGAGUUUGAGUCAGAUAUUGGACUUGCGAUUGAAGAACCUGCUGAAGUAUUGAGUGGGCUACCUGUAGCGGAAGACGCAGCAAGCGAUUGAACCCCCACACUCGCAGCGUUGGACCGAUCAAUGAGUAGUUGUGUAGGUUCUUGGUACACUUGCUGCACCUACUGAAGCGUACAAUGGAUAACGACGAUCCAUUUGCAGGGAGGGGUGCACAUCGUCAGUGGUCGCAUGGACAACUCCGGCGAUUGCCGCGGUGAUACCAUGCAGAGAGGUGUUAUGAAGAUCGUAGACUGUAUGAAGGAGGCGUACAUGACUCGCUGACUCCUUUUUCCGGUGGCUGUUCAGGUUCGAUCGGAUCAGGGUCAGCAGAUCGGCGGCAGCAUCCCACAGGAUAACUUGACGGGUGUGGCCAUCACAACGACAUCACGGUAUCGUUGGCCAACCUGUUACAUUAUUUCUCUCUUUGUAAUGUGAUGAGUAACCAUCAGUUGGUGAAUCGAUUCUCUUAUGAAUACUACUGUAUCUCUCUCAUCUCUUAUAUUGAGUGAACGAACAAAGUGUACAAAUGAAGUCACAGUGAGCUGAGCAGAGCAGCUGGUGAUCAGAUGAUUUCGGGUCCCUGCUAGCUAUUUCUGAUUUUGAAGCUAUACCUACAGGACAAA